ensembl:lncRNA
ACUGGCCCUCCUGUCAACACCACCACACCUACUGGCCCUCCUGUCAACAUUGCCACACCUACUGGCCCUCCUGUCAUCACCGCCACACCUACUGGCCCUCCAACCAUACCUAUAGCCUCUCCAAACCCAUCCCCACACCAGACACUGCCAGAAGACCAGGCCAAGGGUCCAUCGAAGGCAAACGUAGACGCACCAGUGAAUGAGCCAAACCAACCUAGUCCUACAUCAGUCACACAGGCCUCAUCCACACCCGAGACAGCUGAUCAGAACACAGGAGGACGUGCCUCAGACCCAACUCAACCAGCCAGUAAACUCUUGGAUGAGGAAGACCUGAAGGGGACGUCACACGGGUCAACGGAGCCAUCAAAAAGCCUUGAUGGUGAAGGCAACACAGAGGUUAGAGUUCUGAAUGAACUGAAGACCUCUAGUAACCAGACCGACGAGAAUAUAACAAAUGAAGCAAACUCAAAGAAGUGUGUUGACCAAUCCCAAGUAUCCCUUGGUGAUCAGAGGGGUUCUGACCCAACAGAUGAGCCAAACACUAGUCAAAAACAAUCUACUAGUCCAGCUCCCUCAGUAACACAGGAGGUGCCUGAGAAGACAUCUAAGAGAAAAGAUCAGAACAGAACAGAACCUGCCUCAGGUCCAAGUCAAUCAGUAGGGCAGUUGUCAUAUAAAGACGUUCUGGUGGGGACCUCUCAGGAGACGGGAGAUCUGUCCAGGAGGCAAGGGGUUGGCGACAGUAACUACAGAGACCAGAGCAGGAAAAAUGAAGCAAACUCACAGAACUUUGUUUUUGGAUCCCACAAGGCAGAGGCUGGUGACAAGCCUCAAGAAUCAAGGCAAGCGACUUCCAAGCCAAACAAGGAACCAGAGAAGCUGAGUUAUAUGGG